AACGAACGCUGGCGGCAGGCCUAACACAUGCAAGUCGAGCGAGGACUUCGGUUCUAGCGGCGGACGGGUGAGUAACGCGUGGGAAUGUGCCCUUCUCUACGGAAUAGCCCUGGGAAACUGGGAGUAAUACCGUAUACGCCCUAUUGGGGAAAGAUUUAUCGGGGAAGGAUCAGCCCGCGUUGGAUUAGGUAGUUGGUGGUGUAAUGGCCUACCAAGCCGACGAUCCAUAGCUGGUUUGAGAGGAUGAUCAGCCACACUGGGACUGAGACACGGCCCAGACUCCUACGGGAGGCAGCAGUGGGGAAUCUUAGACAAUGAGGGCAACCCUGAUCUAGCCAUGCCGCGUGAGUGAUGAAGGCCUUAGGGUUGUAAAGCUCUUUCAGCUGGGAAGAUAAUGACGGUACCAGCAGAAGAAGCCCCGGCUAACUCCGUG
rnacentral:rRNA from 1 species